UCAAGCUAGAGGCCUUCUAGCUGCCUUAGAUGAAGCUUCACUGCCUCCAGUCUCUGAAAAUGCAGGAGAGAAAACUGUGAACCCUGUGUAGGUGAUGGAGAGGCCUUUGUGCUGCUGAACCCUUAAGCCUGGAUUAUUCGAGUCACUGGUGAAACUGGCAGCGUGAGACACUGUAGAAAGCCAUAUUUAAUAUUUCCUGCACACAGAGAGGCAGCUUGCUUUGCACCGAGGAAGCUCCCAUGUAGGCUGUGGGUGAAGGAACACACUGUACAUAAAUCAGUGUUUAAGCAAUGAAGCCUCUGUGUCACAAGAAACCAUCCAACAUCCCAACUGUGAUGUAUGUCAGUUUGAUAUAGUAGCACACUUAGCAUAUUUUACCACUGUAGCCUACUCUUGUGUGAUUCUAUUAAUGUAUCUGGAUGCCAUAUGUAGAAAAAUCAGAUCAGCGAGCAUUUAAGAGCGGCGUUCCCUCCAAGCUGCCAGUCUGAUGUCCUGAUUAAAUUAUUCACAGACUGAAUCUGAACACUGUGCAAAUCCAGAGAGCUUCUGCCUGAGGUGUGCCAUGUUUUGGUGAUCUUUCAUACAGAUUUUACGAACGGUGCAAAAGUCUUCAGCCACAAAUAGUUAUAAAAUAGUCCUAGUCAUUUCAUAGCAAUAAAAUAAAGUGCUAUUUCAGCAUGGUGUGCAGUCUGCCCUUAAAAAAUAUGAGGCAAAUGGAUGAAUAGAGGACAGGAGAAGUGGCAGGCCUUAAAAGCUCUACAGCAGAUAUCUGAAAGUCAUUUGCUUAAGAAAUAGGCAAAAUCGACCAAAGACCCAACACAGGAUUUUCAGUUGAUCCACUGACUGUUUGCCAAAGCCUCAUCAGAAAUGGUUUCAGUGGAAAGGCAGCUGUCAAGAAGCUUCCUAAAGAAAGGAAACAGGGACUAAAAUGUGCCAAAUUACACAAAAGCUGUAAUAAAAAUCAGUAGAGACAGGUCUUAUUGACCAAUGAAUCCAAAUGUAACAUUUCUGGUGUAACUCACUGUCAGCAGGCACAGCGGAGGCCAGGAGAAAUGGGCCCACCGUGCAAGACCAUCUGGAAAACGCUGCUUGGCAACUGACCUUUUCAUGUUUGAGCAUGACAAUGAUCCAAACACACUGUCAAUGCCAUAAAAUUAGAAAUGAUUAGAAAAACACACAGUCGUGGAUUGGCCUCCCCAGAGCCCAGACUUCAACAUUCCUGAAGCAGUGUGGGAUCAUCUUAGUUAAUGUAUUUCCGUGUAUGUGUGCACCUUUCAAGAAAUUGCUACACCCAUAUUCCUACCAAAAUAUUAAAAAAUGAGGGCCGGCUCAAGACUUUUGCACAGUUCUAACAGCAGGAUCGAACAGCUGUCACAAGUGAAUCAAAUGACAUUACUGUAAAACAUCAGGAAGAGCUCUGUUCAUUCUCCUUAUAUGGGCUAAUCUGUGACUUCUUUUGUUUGUUUGUUUAUUUGUUUUUAAUCUCCAUAAAUGGCAUCCACAGGUGCGCCUCAGCCACAGCUGGGGAAACCACUACGUUCAGGAUUGAUGGAGCGGUAUCCCAGGACAUAAAAUUGUGGAGGCUAAAGCCUAUCCC
ensembl:lncRNA